AUGUAGUACUAAGAGGCCAGGACAUUUAUAAAAAGGGGCCUAGGGAGAAUAGAAAAAGAAUCCAAGAGAAGGAGAGGCACUAGGGAAGGCAGCAAGCAAGCUUUGGAUUGCCAGAAGGCUUAUAAGAAAUAAGUACUUAGAAGAAAGUUUUGUUCCUAUGCCAUCUCUAUAUCUAAGCUAUCUCGAAGAUCAGAUCCAAAGA
rnacentral:lncRNA from 1 species